AUCCAGUUAAAGAGUCCCAAAUAGAAUGAAACACGCAUCCUGGAU
rnacentral:hammerhead_ribozyme from 2 species